rnacentral:tRNA from 1 species
GGGCCGAUGGUCUAGCGGUAUGAUUCUCGCUUAGGGUAACACCCUUAGCAAGUCUGUGAUUGAUCGCGUGACUAAUAUGCGAGAGGUCCCGGGUUCAAUUCCCGGUUGGCCCC